AGGACGAACGCUGGCGGCGUGCUUAACACAUGCAAGUCGAGCGGAAAGGCCCUUCGGGGUACUCGAGCGGCGAACGGGUGAGUAACACGUGAGCAACCUGCCCUUAGCUCCGGGAUAGGCUCCGGGAAACCGGAAUUAAAUACCGGAUACGACCACGGCCGACAUCUGCUGUGGUGGAAAGGAUUCCGGCUAAGGAUGGGCUCGCGGCCUAUCAGUCUAGUUGGUGGAGUAACGGCCCACCAAGGCGACGACGGGUA
rnacentral:rRNA from 1 species